rnacentral:lncRNA from 1 species
UAGAAUUGUAGAUGAUGAUCAUAUCCAGAACAGUUGGCUGAUUAAUUAUGAUUAUGAUUACGUAUUUGAAAAUUGUUUGCACUAAUUCCUCAUGAAUCUUGAAUGAGAUGGAGUUCCUAACUUCUACGUCAUAUUUAACUAACUAAUAAACAACACAGACUAUCAAGACGAAAGGCAGCAUAAGUUUUUCCGGAGCCAUUCCGAUGAGAUAUAUAGUCUGUGUGGCACCGGAUUACAAUUCGGUGCCCCUAUAUAAUAGUUUCAAAGUCCGCUUGAUGUUAUAUAAUUACGUAUAAAUAUUAGUGUAAGCAGGGGCGUAGGGAAGAGGGGGUCAAGGGGUUCAGCUGACUUCUCUCACAUUUUUUAUUAAGUCAUAUUGUUAUCUAAUUUGUCAUUUGAAAUGUGAUAUUGGCACUAUUUUGACCCUUCUAACUAAUUAAAGAAAAAUUUGGCAUAUAAAAUAUUAAUUACAACAAUCAAUUUGGACAGAGGAGUGUUUAACUCCUCACGUGUGUUUGUUACGUGUGGUUCUUUUCUUUUUUUUUUAAUAUAGGUUUCUAAUCCGAAUCAAUGAUUUAUUGCAUCUCCCUUUAAUAUUACAAUUAAAACAUAUUCCUAGUCUUCUUUUUUUUGUCUUUUAAUUAAUAUGUUUCCUAAUCAAUCAAUUAUUGUGAUUGAUUUCUCGUGCACCUCUAUAUAAACAGUUUUAGUCGCUUCUUUAAGUAUUUCUUUUGUUAUCCUUCAAUAAAUUUUUCCCUGUCGUUGACAACCUUCAUAAUUAAAACUUUGUAAUUAUGGAUGUUUUAGUUUUAUUUGAAAAGUAUCGUAAGAUAAAAACAACAAAACAGUCGACUUCAUCUGAAGCUCCUCUAAAAUUUCAAAAUAUGAGCAAUCGUCGAGGACAAUUAUAAUUACUUUAGAGAGAUUUGUUAUUUUAUUUAGCUUUUGUUUUCAAAGUAUUCUAAUGAUUUAUAAGUUUUUAUAUUAUUCAAUAAAAAUUAUAUUUUUAUUUUGUGUGGCAUUAUUGUUUAAACUCUUGACCCUUCUACUUGUGGUUUCUGGCUACGCCACUGAGUGUAAGUGUACAUCGAUGCUCUGAAAUGGUUUUCGGUGUUCCAAUUAUAAGUUUCUUGCAUGCUAAUUGCAUCAUUUGUAUGAUAAUUGAGCCUACUUAUGGAUCAUUAGGCCAAAUUAAAGGAUACAAUUUACAGUUGUAUGGCAUCAUAUAUGCAUGACUUUGCGGUAAUACAAUGACACAUUCCAUAAUAUUAAUGGAUCACUCCUUCUAAAAAGAGUUCGUGGGUGGGGUAGUUAAUUCAUCAUCUAUAUUUGCUUUCUCAUACUAAAUUACUAGUUGAAGCCUACAAUAAUUAUAUAUGAUUUCUAGAGCACACCUUGCAAUUGCCCAAAGUUCUAGCUUAUGAUUGAUUAAAGAUAUGCAUGAAGAUGACUUUAAUUAAUAUAAUCCUCCUGGCUCCUACUUUUCUGCUUUAUUUCCAACUGAAAACUUGGUGGCCUUUCUUUCCUACUACAACCAAGCAAUUAGACAAACUGAUGGUAUCUAAGCAACACUGUUCCCCAUAAUUAAUCUUGACAUUGGAUUUGUAUAUCCUCUCUACUUUAUGAAGCAUUGUACCUACAAGGCUCUUAAAUAAUGUCUUAGAAAUUCAAGUGACUUCUAUGGAGGGUAAGCUCACUAC